AAAAAAUGAAUAUAGAUACAAAUCCCCAAAUAAGUUUGAAGGAUUCAUUUAAAACAAAAGAAGGCCAGUGUGAAACUUGAAUAGUACAGAAGAAGUGGGGUAAAAGACCAAAUAUGUUCGACCUUUCAGCAGAUAGUUUUGAAGUAAUAGCUUCAAAAUUCACCAUGGAACUUUGAUGGCUCGCCUCGCUCGUCCAUUGCGCGUCUCGUGGCUACUCUGCUAUCCUUUAGUAAAAAUAUCAUAACUUUUUAUACUUAAAAGCUUUAAUUUGAUAUAUAAU
rnacentral:lncRNA from 1 species